rnacentral:tRNA from 1 species
UUCUAUAGUUUAUUUCAAACAGUGGCCUGCAAAGCUAAAAAUGUUUCGCACUGGAAUUU